rnacentral:rRNA from 1 species
UACGUAGGGGGCUAGCGUUGUCCGGAAUCAUUGGGCGUAAAGAGCGUGUAGGCGGUCCGGUAAGUCAGCUGUGAAAGUCAAGGGCUCAACCCUUGAAUGCCGGUUGAUACUGUCGGGCUAGAGUCCGGAAGAGGCGAGUGGAAUUCCUGGUGUAGCGGUGAAAUGCGCAGAUAUCAGGAGGAACACCGGGUGGCGAAAGGCGGUUCUCUGGGCAUGAUCUGACGUGAGGAGCGAAAGCGUGGGGAGCAAACAGG